UUGUAUUCCAAUUAUUUUCUCUUUCCCUUCCUCCCAUCCCUCCCCUCGACAGCAAGUAAUUCAAUUUAUGUUAAACAUGUACAAGAAUUAUAAAUUUUUGGAAAUGGAAGAAACUUUAGAAAUCAUCUACUUGAUAUUCCUCAUUUUACAGAUGAAGCAGAGGAAGCCCUGAGAGUGAUUUAAAAAGCUCAUUAGUGGUAGAGUUGGAACUAGAACUAAUGAUGUCUUCUGAUUCCUAGUCAAGUCUUCUUUCCAUUACAUCACAUUUCCUUUCAUGACAAAGGUUUAGGAUUUACUUGUCUUUGGUUCAAGGACAGAAGAACCAGACAAUUCAUACAGAACCAGAUCAUUACUUGAGGAUUCCUGAAAUUUCUCAUAGGAUUGCAAGAAAAUUGAGGGUUCUGAUUGUACUUCUAGUCCAGGGGAGAGUGAGGACUGCAGCCAAAGCCUCAUCAGAAAAUAUAUACUUCACAGAACACCUCACAACUGAACUAAAUACAGGUUUACUACUUGUGCCUGUCUCAUCUUACCUACCUCACUUCCUUUCUGGUUGGAAAUGAAAAUUGGGAACCAAUAGAAUAAAAUCUGGAGACUUGGAAAUGGUCCAACUGUAGUGAUGAGUUUGACAAUUUCACACCAUGGGAAUCUCACCUGUGCCUCAAUAAACACAGAUUAUCAGCUCUCAGCUAGAGAUUGCCUAAGAAGCUGGGACUUGGAAGAUUAAAAAAGCAAAGCAAAAGAAACAGAGGUACAAACCUAGGCAAAAAUUAUUUGCCUAGAACCUUGGUGCCAUCUCUUUUGGCCUCAAGCUUGUGUAGCUCCUGCGAUUUAGUUAGUGUAUACAGUACUGUUCUUCCACUUGUGCCUAAAUGGGACAACAACCCAACAGCCAGACUGAAGACGA
rnacentral:lncRNA from 1 species